UGGGCCUUUGGCUUCCUGUCACACAGCCGUGCGACAAGGGGCAGGUUUCUGAAGGACCAGAGAGAAAAGGGGUCUGUUGUUCUCGGGGGCACAGGCUUGCUGGUGGCAUCCCGCACAGACACUCUCUCCUCACAGCUCCCACCACGGGGACUGGAGGCAGGAGGAGCCGACGGGCCCCUGGAACGGCCGCGGUGCGUCCCGAGGUGGGAGCCGCAAGCCCGAGGAUCGGCCGAGUCCCAGGGGACCCUAACGGAGGCCGGGCUGGAAGGCCAAGGUGGCUGCCACGUGGGAAGGUAUCCUUGACAUCCAGACCCUGGAGAAGGAAUCGGGAGCCACCACCCAAAGCAACUGUCCAGGAAAAGUGGUCGCGCUUCAGCCAUCGCGCUGGGCUAGGUCUUCCAAGCGAACCCCCUGUUGGAGCCUCUGCCGUCUAACGUCACCUAAUGUAGCCGAACCUGCCAAGACCCUGGCUACUUCACUGGAACCCAGACCAGGGCGAUCCCCGAGUGUUGCGAGCCCACCUUCCUCUUCCUCGACGGUGGCUCCAGCCCCUUCAUGUCGCCUCCAAGCUCCUGCCCAAGUGUUCCCACCCGCACUGCUGGGAGCAGCUCCUCUGUGUUUUCAGGGCCACUUUGCUGUCGUCCUUUGAAGGUUCUCUUGGCGACUCUAGGAAGACUCCGUGGUACAGGUGACCUUCUGUAUCUGUGGAGGAUCGGUUCCCAGAUACCCCCGCCCACGGAUCCCAAAAUCCCAGGAGCCAAGCCUUGUCUAAAGUGCCGGAGUGCAGCCUGGCCUCCAGAACGCGUGAGAACAGAGCAGCCGUACUCUGUUUCCAACGAGCCGAUGGCCAAAGCCCCGCUGUGCGUGUUCUCUAUGGACUGAACAGCCAGUGGCCCUGUAGCAGUGAAGCCUCACACCGUCCUCCAGGCUGGAAGGGACCCUUGAGUCACAGAACUUGCCAGUUUGCAAACAUGUCUCUAGUUGUAACAACUUUCAUCUGUCAAAUGAGGGCUCUUCAUUUCUAAGGUUCUAGAAGCCGGCCGUGGUCAUAUAGUCCCUCAGCUGGGUGUACUGAAAUCUGGGCCAGAGGCACAGCUUCCUCGCUAAGACACCCCCCCACCCCAGCACCCUGCACACACACACAGGCAGAGGCCAAGCUGCCUGCCUCCCCGCACCCCCUAGAAUGCUAACCACUGGGGACCGAGGGGUAGUUCCUACCUUUUAUAUCCUUACAUACUGAAUCUGGCGCUGGCUCCUGGGCUGCAUCUUCUUAACUGCAAACACUCUAUACCAUCCCUCUCUGGUUCCACCAGCCACCACCCUCCUUCCGUGUCCUCCUCUGAACGUGCCUGAUAAAGGCUUUUGAGUGACUGAAUGAGUGGACGGCUCCCAUCUUCUGUCAUCUCAAUGAGUGCUGCUCCCCAGCUGACUGGAACCAGACGCCCUAGUUCCCAGGCUGGGUUUCCCUCCAGAUGUGUUCUCCUGCGGUGUCGGUUCCACCGUUAAACAGCUGUAUCGCUCAGCAGGUACGCAACGUUGAUGCGCCUCCAUUUCCUCCUCUGCAGAAUUGUGGGCGUUCCUGUCGUGGCUCAGCAGAAUCCGGCUUGUAUCCACGAGGAUGCGGGUUCUAUCCCUGGCCUCGCUCGGUGAAUCUGGGAUCCAGCCUUGCCGUGAGCUGUGGUGUAGGCCGGAAGCUGUAGCUCCAAUUUGACCCCUAGCCUGGAAACUUCCACAUGCUGAGGGUUCGGCCUUAAAAACAACAACGACAACAAAAUAGUACUUACGUCAUAGGGUUGCUGUCAGCAUUAAAUGAGAGAGUCUGUUAAAAACGCCGAGAACAUUGCCUGGCAAUAUACAUUGCAGAAUACUCAAUAAAUAUUAGCUGGUGUUAUUUCAUACUUCAUCAAAC
rnacentral:lncRNA from 1 species